rnacentral:rRNA from 1 species
CGAAAGCCUGACGGAGCAAUACCGCGUGAGGGAGGAAGGCUUUUGGGUUGUAAACCUCUUUUGUCAGGGAAGAAAAUUUGACGGUACCUGAAGAAAAAGCAUCGGCUAACUCCGUGCCAGCAGCCGCGGUAAUACGGAGGAUGCAAGCGUUAUCCGGAAUAAUUGGGCGUAAAGGGUCCGCAGGUGGCCAUUCAAGUCUGCUGUCAAAGACCGUGGCUCAACCACGGAAAGGCAGUGGAAACUGUUUAGCUAGAGUACGGUAGGGGUAGAGGGAAUUCCCAGUGUAGCGGUGAAAUGCGUAGAUAUUGGGAAGAACACCGGUGGCGAAAGCGCUCUACUGGGCCGAAACUGACACUGAGGGACGAAAGCUAGGGUAGCGAAAGGGAUUAGAUACCCCUGUAGUCUUAGCUGUAAACGAUGGAUACUAGGUGUAGCUUGUAUCGACCCGAGCUGUGCCGAAGCUAACGCGUUAAGUAUCCCGCCUGGGGAGUACGCACGCAAGUGUGAAACUCAAAGGAAUUGACGGGGGCCCGCACAAGCGGUGGAGUAUGUGGUUUAAUUCGAUGCAACGCGAAGAACCAUACCAGGGCUUGACAUGUGGCGAAUCUCUGUGAAAGCAGGGAGUGCCUUAGGGAGCGCCAACACAGGUGGUGCAUGGCUGUCGUCAGCUCGUGUCGUGAGAUGUUGGGUUAAGUCCCGCAACGAGCGCAACCCUCGUUUUUAGUUGCCAUUUUAAUGGCUCUCUAGAGAGACUGCCGGGGACAACUCGGAGGAAGGUGGGGAUGACGUCAAGUCAGCAUGCCCCUUACGCCCUGGGCUACACACGUACUACAAUGGUUGGGACAAAGGGCAGCAAACCCGCGAGGGCAAGCGAAUCUCAUCAAACCCAGCCUCAGUUCAGAUUGCAGGCUGCAACUCGCCUGCAUGAAGGAGGAAUCGCUAGUAAUCGCAGGUCAGCAUACUGCGGUGAAUUCGUUCCCGGGCCUUGUACACACCGCCCGUCACACCAUGGAAGCUGGCUACGCCCGAAGUCGUUGCCCUAACCCUUAGGGGAGGGGGAUGCCGAAGGUAGAGCUAGUGACUGGGGUGAAGUCGUAACAAGGUAGCCGUACCGGAAGGUGUGGCUGGAUCACCUCCUUUA